rnacentral:tRNA from 1 species
GGUUGUGUAGUGUAGCGGUUAUCACCUUGGAUUCUGACUAUUUCCAAUAACCCCGGUUCGAUUCCGGGCACGACCU